rnacentral:lncRNA from 1 species
GUUUAUUUAUUGAACAUGAGGCAGUGAUUUUUUAAAAUUAAUUUAUAGUUCUUUUAAUAAUUUUUAAAAAAUUCUGGAUCUUAAAAAUUAUAUCUUGAUUAUUCAUUUUAAUUUUGCCCUUCAGGCACUUUUUUUUUUUUUUUUUUGAGGCGGAGUGUCUCUGUCGACCAGGCUGGAGUGCGGUGGCGCAAUCUCCGCUCACUGCAAGCUCCGCCUUCCGGGUUCACGCCAUUUUCUUGCCUCAGCCUCUCCGAGUACCUGGAACUACAGGCGCCCGCCACCACGCCCGGCUAAUUUUUUGUGUUUUUAGUAGAGACGGGCUUUCACCGUGGACUCUAUCUCCUGACCUCGUGAUCCGCCCGCAUAGGCCUCCCAAAGUGCUGGGAUUACAAGCGUGAGCAACCGCGCCCGGCCCCCUUCAGGUUUCUCCUUGCCAUUCUACUUCCCAGCUGGCUGGCUUCAGGACAGGAAUUCUUGGCUCUUUCUGAGAUAUGGUGGAUGAUAGCAGUCCCUUGGGGUUUUUGGAGAACAAGAAAGUGGCAAAUACAUCCAUGUUUGGACUGAUGGCAUGUAGAGGAACCCUGGACACAUUGUGUUUUGAACUAGCUGAGUGGCAGAAACACCAACUGUGCCCUGGGGAUGCCAUGCUUGUGGGUGCUGCAUGGAGGCAGAAACAACUCAGGCUGGUGCAUUGA